UAGGGAAUCUUCCACAAUGGACGCAAGUCUGAUGGAGCAACGCCGCGUGAGUGAAGAAGGUUUUCGGACCGUAAAGCUCUGUUGUUGGUGAAGAAGGAUAGAGGUAGUAACUGGCCUUUAUUUGACGGUAAUCAACCAGAAAGUCACGGCUAACUACGUGCCAGCAGCCGCGGUAAUACGUAGGUGGCAAGCGUUGUCCGGAUUUAUUGGGCGUAAAGCGAGCGCAGGCGGAAGAAUAAGUCUGAUGUGAAAGCCCUCGGCUUAACCGAGGAAUUGCAUCGGAAACUGUUUUCUUGAGUGCAGAAGAGGAGAGUAGAACUCCAUGUGUAGCGGUGGAAUGCGUAGAUAUAUGGAAGAAUACCAGUGGCGAAGGCGGCUCUCUGGUCUGCAACUGACGCUGAGGCUCGAAAGCAUGGGUAGCGAACAGGAUUAGAUACCCUGGUAGUCCAUGCCGUAAACGAUGAGUGCUAAGUGUUGGGAGGCUUCCGCCUCUCAGUGUUGCAGCUAACGCAUUAAGCACUCCGCCUGGGGGAGUACGACCGCAAGGUUGAAAC
rnacentral:rRNA from 1 species